rnacentral:lncRNA from 1 species
AACUGACGGAAAUGACCUGGAAGUUUGGAAUAGUAAAAUAACUCGCUGUGAGAGGCAUUACCGAGGCAAAGAGCAAAAAAGAAAGUCAAGCCACAGUCAAUUUAUUGUGUGACUUUGAAGUUUGACUCAAGUAUCACCUGCAAACUCGAUGGGGAUGUGUGUGUCAAUAACACAAACAGGGGAAUGCAAAGAAGUAACAAUUUUGGUGUUUUGAUUUUUCUUUAAUUCUUUUCCAAUGGAGAAGCUUCUAAAGGUUCCAGCAGCACCAACAUCUAAAUAUGUGAUUCUUAUUCCAUGUCUCUUUACAGUUCCCUCCCUGAGAGCCAUCUCUUUUGCAGAACCUUCCAGAACCAAUAGGACACACUUAUUUAAAAAAAAAGACCCAAAUAAAAGUUAUCUCUGAAACUUUGUAGAAAACCUGAUUUGAGGGUUAGGUUUGGGGUUUUUUUUUAAAGCAACUUAAAUGGAUAAAAUAUCCAGAAUAGCAUUGCUUACUAGAUAUUAGCAUGGAUAGAAAUGAUAAAUCUGUAUUAUUCUUUUUAACUUUCCAGAGUGCCCAGUUCUACAAAGUCACCACGGAGCAAUACCAAAAAGCUGCCGAUGAAGUGUCAUCUCGGUUCAAACGAUACGAGUCUCAUCCAAUCUGCGGUGACCUGCAGGAGAAAAUUCUACAGUGUUACCGGCAACACGCUCAGGAGACCCUCAGCUGCUCUGCCCUGGCUAACCAGUACCUGCACUGUGUCAACCAUGCCAAACAGCAGAGCAUGCUUGGGAGAGGAGGAUAAAGGCAUUGUCCAAAUCAAGCACAAGACCAUCAACUCUAAUUUCAGCAGAAGAGCAUUUUUUUUUUUUCCCCCCAAGAAUGAUAUGACAGCCCAUUUACAGGGCAGACCAAUAAAGAGAAGAACUGGAAGAGCCAUUUCAAGAGCAGCAGCCAUCACAGCUCAAUCAGUGUGACCAUUUGAAAAGCCAAGACCUGUAUCUUAUUACAUCAGAAAUCACACGCCCGAAGAUACUGUUCAGUCGUAGUAAAAUCCACUUAUUGGUGAUUGAAGGAAGGAAAAGAAAAGAACCUUUCACUGACCUCAGAAAGGGGAAAUAUCCUUCAAAUGCUGCUAUUUUAUUGUAGAAUCUCCUCAAAAAAAUACUUCUCCCUGUCCAAGGCGCGGGUGUGUAACACUUGGUGUGCCGGGACGUCAGCCGAUGCUCCUCACUCUGCAGCCUGUAUCCAUAUUGGAAGUUUUCCCUACAGUGUAUAAAUGACGUAAAUUGUGCUUUAAUUUAUAUCACAAAUUAUGUAACUUCAUGAAGUCUCUCUCCAGGCCUUCUGCUGGAAUGAUGUUAAUGAUCCAACACUUCAGAUGUAACAUGGCCUUUAUUUACGGGAAACGAUUCUGUUGUGCUCCUCACUCCUACCAAGUACUGACGAACAUGCCUCUCUCUGUACCAACAAUAAAUGUAUUUUAUGCACAAGAUUGAUGUUUCCG